rnacentral:rRNA from 1 species
UACGUAGGCAGCGAGCGUUGUUCGGAGUUACUGGGCGUAAAGCGUGCGUAGGCGGUGCUCUAAGUCUGUUGUGAAAUCUCCCGGCUUAACUGGGAGGGUGCGGCGGAAACUGGGGUGCUGGAGUGCGGGAGAGGUAAGCGGAAUUCCCGGUGUGAGCGGUGGAAAUGACGUAGAGUAUCGGGAGGAACACCUGCGGUGUAGACGGCUUACUGGACCGUAACUGACGCUGAGGCACGAAAGCGUGGGGAGCAAACAGG